rnacentral:rRNA from 1 species
GAUGAACGCUGGCGGCGUGCCUAACACAUGCAAGUCGAGCGAAGCGAUUUAGCGGAAGUUUUCGGAUGGAAGUUAAAUUGACUGAGCGGCGACGGGUGAGUACGCGUGGGUAACCUGCCUCAUACAGGGGGAUAACAGUUAGAAAUGACUGCUAAUACCGCAUAAGCGCACAGCAUCGCAUGAUGCAGUGUGAAAAACUCCGGUGGUAUGAGAUGGAUCCGCGUCUGAUUAGCCAGUUGGCGGGGUAACGGCCCACCAAAGCGACGAUCAGUAGCCGACCUGAGAGGGUGACCGGCCACAUUGGGACUGAGACACGGCCCAA